rnacentral:rRNA from 1 species
AACGCGAAGAACCUUACCCAGGCUUGACAUCCUUGGAAUUUCUCCGAAAGGAGAGAGUGCUUUAUUGAGCCAAGUGACAGGUGAUGCAUGGCCGUCGUCAGCUCGUGUCGUGAGAUGUUUGGUUAAGUCCAUCAACGAGCGCAACCCCUGUGUUUAGUUGUAUUUUUCUAAACAGACUGCCCUGGUAACAGGGAGGAAGGAGGGGACGAUGUCAGGUCAUUAUUUCCCUUACGCCUGGGGCUACAGACACGCUACAAUGGCCAGUACAAAGGGCUGCUAAGUCGCGAGACGGAGCAAAUCCCAUCAAAGCUGGCCCCAAUUCGGAUAGUAGGCUGAAACUCGCCUGCUUGAAGCCGGAAUCGCUAGUAACGGUGAGUCAGCAUAUCACCGUGAAUACGUUCCCGGGCCUUGUACACACCGACAUA